rnacentral:rRNA from 1 species
AUUGAACGCUGGCGGCAUGCUUUACACAUGCAAGUCGAACGGCAGCGCGGGCUUCGGCCUGGCGGCGAGUGGCGAACGGGUGAGUAAUACAUCGGAACGUGCCCAGUAGUGGGGGAUAGCUCGGCGAAAGCCGGAUUAAUACCGCAUACGACCUGAGGGUGAAAGCGGGGGAUCUUCAGACCUCGCGCUAUUGGAGCGGCCGAUGGCAGAUUAGCUAGUUGGUGGGGUAAAGGCCUACCAAGGCGACGAUCUGUAGCUGGUCUGAGAGGACGACCAGCCACACUGGGACUGAGACACGGCCCAGACUCCUACGGGAGGCAGCAGUGGGGAAUUUUUGGACAAUGGGCGAAAGCCCUGAUCCAGGCACAUGCCCGCGUGUGUGAUGAAGGCCUUCGGGGUUGUAAAAGCAACUUUUGGCGGGAAACGAAAAGGG